ACGAACGCUGGCGGCGUGCUUCACACAUGCAAGUCGAACGGAAAGGCCCUGCUUUUGUGGGGUGCUCGAGUGGCGAACGGGUGAGUAACACGUGAGUAACCUGCCCUUGACUUUGGGAUAACUUCAGGAAACUGGGGCUAAUACCGGAUAGGAGCUCCUGCUGCAUGGUGGGGGUUGGAAAGUUUCGGCGGUUGGGGAUGGACUCGCGGCUUAUCAGCUUGUUGGUGGGGUAGUGGCUUACCAAGGCUUUGACGGGUAGCCGGCCUGAGAGGGUGACCGGCCACAUUGGGACUGAGAUACGGCCCAGACUCCUACGGGAGGCAGCAGUGGGGAAUAUUGCACAAUGGGCGGAAGCCUGAUGCAGCAACGCCGCGUGCGGGAUGACGGCCUUCGGGUUGUAAACCGCUUUCGCCUGUGACGAAGCGUGAGUGACGGUAAUGGGUAAAGAGGCACCGGCUAACUACGUG
rnacentral:rRNA from 1 species